GAUUAACGCUGGCGGCAUGCCUAAUACAUGCAAGUCGAACGGAAGCAGCAAUGCUUUAGUGGCGAACGGGUGAGUAACACGUAGGGAACCUACCUAUACGACGAGGAUAACUACUGGAAACGGUAGCUAAAACUGGAUAGGAUCAAUUGAGGCAUCUUGAUUGAUUUAAAGAUCCUUCGGGAUUAUGUAGAGAUGGCCCUGCGGCGCAUUAGCUAGUUGGUGAGGUAACGGCCCACCAAGGCGACGAUGCGUAGCUGAGCUGAGAGGCUAAACAGCCACACUGGGACUGAGACACGGCCCAGACUCCUACGGGAGGCAGCAGUAGGGAAUUUUCGGCAAUGGGGGAAACCCUGACCGAGCAAUGCCGCGUGAACGAUGAAGGUCUUCGGAUUGUAAAGUUCUGUGAUUGGGGAAGAAUGGUAUUCUUAGGGAAUGAGGAGUACAUGACGGUACCCGAUUAGAAAGCCCCGGCUAACUAUGUGCCAGCAGCCGC
rnacentral:rRNA from 1 species